GACGAACGCUGGCGGCGUGCCUAAUACAUGCCAGUCGAACGCUUCUUUCCUCCCGAGUGCUUGCACUCAAUUGGAAAGAGGAGUGGCGGACGGGUGAGUAACACGUGGGUAACCUACCCAUCAGAGGGGGAUAACACUUGGAAACAGGUGCUAAUACCGCAUAACAGUUUAUGCCGCAUGGCAUAAGAGUGAAAGGCGCUUUCGGGUGUCGCUGAUGGAUGGACCCGCGGUGCAUUAGCUAGUUGGCGAGGUAACGGCUCACCAAGGCCACGAUGCAUAGCCGACCUGAGAGGGUGAUCGGCCACACUGGGACUGAGACACGGCCCAGACUCCUACGGGAGGCAGCAGUAGGGAAUCUUCGGCAAUGGACGAAAGUCUGACCGAGCAACGCCGCGUGAGUGAAGAAGGUUUUCGGAUCGUAAAACUCUGUUGUUAGAGAAGAACAAGGACGUUAGUAACUGAACGUCCCCUGACGGUAUCUAACCAGAAAGCCACGGCUAACUACGUG
rnacentral:rRNA from 1 species